CCUGUGGCCCUCCUCUGGGCCCAUUCCAAAAGCUUCACAUCUUUCUUGUCAAACCUGGAUGUAGUCCUCCAGAUGGUGCUGCACAAGGACAGAGCAGAGGUGGACAAUUACCUCCAUCACCUGACCGGCCACCCCUCUUUCUGAUGCAGCCCAGUUUACAGUUGGCCCUCUGGGCUGCAAGGACACACUGCUGGCUCACAUCAAGCACAGGAACUCAAUUUCUUCUGGAUGAAACUGAACUGGAAGCUAGUCAUUUUGAGCACACUGACAUCCUUGGAGGCAGUCACAAAUAUAAAGAUGAACACUUCAGAAAAGUCAUAAUGCCUGUAAAAUGUUUUCAACCACUGCUAACAGUGGACUGCUGCUACCUGGACUGCCUUGUCCUCAUGUUAAUGAUGCUGUUUCAGUGACAUUCCAAAAGGUAUUCAAAGUAAUCAGAAGGACUAGGAAGAGGAUGCUGUAGAUGGAUUUCAAUUUACUGAUCCCCCUGAAGUACAGCUAAACUAGAGAUACAUUUCUGAGCAAUUUCAGCCUGAAAGAAACACAAGGAUCCGAUGAUCUGAGAAAGAAGACCUGAAAAAUAUCUGUUCAUCACACCACCAGAAUAUUCAACCAAAUACACAGAGACUACGAAGCAUGCAGGCUAAGGCCUACAGAAGCUGAAUGAAAGCUAGUCAUAGACUAGCUUAGACUGAAAAAUUAUUUGAAAACUUAAAAUUUGGA